rnacentral:rRNA from 1 species
GAUGAACGCUAGCGGCAGGCCUAACACAUGCAAGUCGAGGGGUAACUAGAGUGAUAGCAAUAUUACUUUGGCUAGACCGGCGCACGGGUGCGUAACACGUAUGCAACCUACCUUAUACUGGGGAAUAACUUCGAGAAAUCGGCGCUAAUACCCCAUAACAUUGCGAAGAGGCAUCUCUUUGCAAUUAAAGCUCCGGCGGUAUAAGAUGGGCAUGCGUCCAAUUAGCUAGUUGGUGAGGUAACGGCUCACCAAGGCUACGAUUGGUAGGGGUUCUGAGAGAAUGAUCCCCCACACUGGUACUGAGACACGGACCAGACUCCUACGGGAGGCAGCAGUGAGGAAUAUUGCGCAAUGGACGAAAGUCUGACGCGGCCAUGCCGCGUGCAGGAUGACGGCCCUAUGGGUUGUAAACUGCUUUUGUACGGGAAUAAACCCUUCUACGUGUAGGAGGCUGAAGGUACCGUAAGAAUAAGCACCGGCUAACUCCGUGCCAGCCGCCGCCGUAAAAC